AUAAUUUAAGCAUUAUAUGCAGAGGACUAGCUUGAAUACAAAUGUUAAAUCUGUUCCUAUCACUUUAAUAACUGAGACUUCCUCUAUCUGAGGUCUAUCUAUUCAACUGAUUUUUGGAAUCGGGAGAUGGAAUAGCAACUGGCUCCAUCCACUGCACACGUCACCCUGUUAUUGCAGUACUGAACCUCCAGGACCGGUGGGCCUCCG
rnacentral:snRNA from 1 species